rnacentral:rRNA from 1 species
CGGCAGCUUACACAUGCAAGUCGAGGGGUACAGGUAGCUUGCUAUGCUGACGACCGGCGCACGGGUGAGUAACGCGUAUACAAUCUGCCUUGUACUGAGGGAUAGCCCAGAGAAAUUUGGAUUAAUACCUCAUAGUAUAUAGUCUCCACCUGGAGAUUAUAUUAAAGGUUACGGUACAAGAUGAGUAUGCGUUCUAUUAGCUAGAUGGUAAGGUAACGGCUUACCAUGGCAACGAUAGAUAGGGGCCCUGAGAGGGGGAUCCCCCACACUGGUACUGAGACACGGACCAGACUCCUACGGGAGGCAGCAGUGAGGAAUAUUGGACAAUGGGCGAGAGCCUGAUCCAGCCAUGCCGCGUGCAGGAUGACUGCCCUAUGGGUUGUAAACUGCUUUUAUACAGGAAGAAACACUCCCUCGUGAGGGAGCUUGACGGUACUGUAAGAAUAAGGAUCGGCUAACUCCGUGCCAGCAGCCGCGGUAAUACGGAGGAUCCAAGCGUUAUCCGGAAUCAUUGGGUUUAAAGGGUCCGUAGGUGGAUAAUUAAGUCAGAGGUGAAAUCCUGCAGCUCAACUGUAGAAUUGCCUUUGAUACUGGUUAUCUUGAGUUAUUAUGAAGUAGUUAGAAUAUGUGGUGUAGCGGUGAAAUGCAUAGAUAUCACAUAGAAUACCAAUUGCGAAGGCAGAUUACUAAUAAUUAACUGACACUGAUGGACGAAAGCGUGGGGAGCGAACAGGAUUAGAUACCCUGGUAGUCCACGCCGUAAACGAUGGUUACUAGUUGUUCGAACUUCGGUUUGAGUGACUAAGCGAAAGUGAUAAGUAACCCACCUGGGGGAGUACGUUCGCAAGAAUGAAACUCAAAGGAAUUGACGG